ensembl:lncRNA
GCAGGAGAAAGCGCUGCUUCAUGGGGUCACGGAGCCUGCACCUGGCCUGGGAGCUGGGACCUGAAGGGAGGCACCUGGGCGAGAGGAGGAGCGGAGUGCCUUGCUCCGCCCACAUCCGUCCGGUGAGGCCAGAACAGCCCUCACACAGCUGAGCUACGAUGGGGUGUGGUGCCUGCCCGGGUGCCCACACUGACCUUCAGUGUUUGAGAAGCAUAUGAUUUAUGCCUGACUUCCAAAUCCCACCGUUUAUGUUUCUUGUGACCCAGGCUAAGCUGGAAGUAUUCAAUGGAGAGAAUUCUGAUAAUACAGUUCCUGCUCAGCAAAAUUGACAUGGCUCCAACCUGCCACACAGAUGAUCAAGUCAACCUCGUUUUCCCUAGAGACAGUCUGACACUCCCUUGGACUGCAAGGAGAUCAAACCAGUCAAUCCUAAAGGACAUCAACCCUAAAUAGUCACUGGAGGGACUGGUGCUGAAGCUCCAAUCCUUUGGCCACCUGAUGUGAAGAGCUGACUCAUUGGAAAAGACUGAUGCAGGGAAAGAUUGAAGGCAGGCGGGGAAGGAAGCAACAGAGGAUGAGAUGGUUGGAUGGCAUCACAGAUUCAAUGGACAUGGCUUUGAGCAAGCUCUGGGAGAUGAUCCUUGUCAGGUACCUCUGGCCCACAUCCCCAUUGUGUCUUGGCCGGGACAGGCGUGACGGCUGAUACCUUGGCAUUGCAGGCUCAGACUCAGGAGCAGGCCAUGCUUCAGGAGAUGGAGAAGCACGCCGCGCUGGAAUCCCAGAUGCCAGAUGAGGACCAUGCAAGGAGGAACAGGGGUUUUUAUGGCUGUUGAGAAAAAGCUUUGUUAACGGGCCCAGGAGGAUCCACCUCCGUCGAAACAUCAUGGACUGAGGCAUGAAUACUUUUCUGCACAAAAUAGCAUCGGCCGCAUGGCCUAGGCACCUGGCCAUACAUCUCACUUCUUUUGGCAUAAGCUUCCCACUUUUUUUGCAGGUGGAAAAUUACUAGUAUUAAUACCAUGUUGGACCAGCUCAUGUGGUGCACUUGAUCCUUCCCAGGGAGAGCAGGGCCUAAUUGCAUUUAUAAGCAGCCACCUGCAGGAAUAAAUUGUCCGUUCAGCACAGCACACAAAGGGGCUGGCAGAGCUUCUUAUACUGCUCAGCUGUUCCUGUGGACAUGCAGUUCAGUUCAUAUGUAUAGGGGAUGUGUGAACACUUGAUUCAUAUGUACACGACAGGGACUGGGGAGGCAGAGAAAGGCAGAGAAGGACACUCAUCCUUACUGCAGCCUUGCCAGAACAUUCAGAACCUGUGAAAAUGUCUCUUUAAAGCUAUGACAAAUGUAUGCACCACUGUAAUAUCCUAGCUGGGCUUCCCAGAUGGCUCAGUGGUAAAGAAUCCACCUGCCCAUGCUGGAGACAUGGGUUCGAUUUCUGGGUCAGGAAGAUCCCUUGGACGAGAGCAUGGCAACCCACUCCAGUAUUCUUGCCUGGGAAAUCCCAUGGACAGAGGAGACUGGUGGGUUACAUUCCAUGCUGUAACAAAUAGUUGGAC